rnacentral:rRNA from 1 species
AUGGGCGCGGCGGCGACCGAAGCGCCGGCAAGCUCACUUGUUGAGCCGGCGGCCGACGCGCACAAGGUGUUCAAUGGAAUGCCCACAAGGCAUAAAUGUCAACUAUGGGUGUUGGCUCCAACACUUCUCAUUUGUCUCAAACCAAUGAGAUGCAUUACGAUGAUCAUGAGUUUGAGGUGGACGAGGAUGGUGAGGGCAUCGUCGAUGCAGCGAAAGGAAGAGGGGGCAACUACACCAUGGACGAAGACAUCUUGCUAUGCAAUGAUUGGUUGCAAGUGUCGAGGGAUCCCUCCAUUGGAGGAGAUCAAAGAACACUUUGAUGUACACAACAAAAGUGGAAUUGACCGCUCUGGAAGAUCUCUUCGCUCCCGGUGGUCGACAAUCAACCAAGAUUGUCAAAGGUGGGCGGCUGCACUUAAGGCGGUUGACAAGUUGAACCCAACUGGCAUUAAUGAUAGAGAUAGGCUCACUAUUGCACAAAAGUUGUUCCAAGGAGAGGAGAAGAAGACCAAGAAAGGAAAGAUCAAGAAAGGGAGACCAUUUACCUUGCCUCAUUGCUAUGAAGAAUUGAAGGAUGAUGAGAAAUGGAAGCCCCGAGAUGCUAUCAAUGAUGAUGAGGAGAGCAACAAACGCAAGCGAACUAUUGAUUUGGAUGAUGAUGGGGAGGAGGCAUCAAGUGAUGAUGGCAAGAGAAGCCCUACACCAAACUCGGUUUCGUACUCCAAGCCAAAAAGACCGGAUGGAUGCAAGAAAGACGGAAAAGAAAAGAAGAAGAGGAAAGCAAAUGACGAGCUAAAAAAUGCUAUGGAAGCUAUUGUGUAG